UUCCUAUUUAUUUUCCUGUGUGGAACAUUUUUUUUCUUCUCUGGCUCUCAACGAGGGCGGUCGCACUUUCUCCCUCUCCUCUCCCUUAUCUCUCCUGCUUCACUUCUACAAUCAUGUAUAGUCUACUGUCUUUACUUGAGAGACUCUCUCUGUGCUGUUCUUCAAACUAAAAAAAAUGGAUUUGAUCAAAUGGUCUCUCAAUGCACUUGACACCAUCUUCUCGACGAGAAGUCUGGGUAUGGGGGAACCAGCUUUUCCUGCCGGAACAUUUGCAGCUGGCUACACAAUGGACGUGUGGGAGAGGUAGCGAGUCGUGUGCCUGGCGGCUCUUUCCGUGAGGGAUAUUGAGGAUGUCUACCUAUUCGGAACCAUGAUUACAGGUGUUUUGCUGAUUGGAUUAGGCCUUGCCCUGGUUUAUCGCGAGAUUCGAGAAAUGAGGACAGCUGUCCAUGGCCCCUUAAAGCUGCCCAACGUGAUUGGCGUGGUGGGCAGAGCUGUCAGCACUCAGACCGUGACUUUAAAUUGCACAAUGGAAAACAUGACGGAGAAGCUGGCAGCUUUGCAAAGGAAAAUGGAUUGUUUGGGAGACCAAAACAGACUUGCUCCCCGUACCAGCAAUGGCAUUGGCCACGGCCACUGCUGGAACAACAAAUUCCUCCAGAAGAACACUGCAGCAAGAUGCUCUUUUAUCCCUCCUCCCAUUUCCUCAGACUCCUGCUGAUUGUUGACUCUGCCUGGGACCCAAUCAAGGCUGUCUCCAUGGCAAUUUGCUGUGUUAUCGCUAUAACACCCUGUGGACUGAGGCACCUAGUCUGGGAUGCCAGGUGAAGAGCAUGUUUUCCCUACAGGGGGAGACUGGUUCUCUAUAUAGGAUAUGUAAUUGUCCUGGCCCGAAGUCAGUAAGGCCUUCAGUAUCCACCUGGAAUUUCAGCAUCCUAUUCAUUGUGUGUGCAUUACUGCAUAAUGUGCCAUGUUCCUGGUUAUUUUAAUGUAUUAAAUCAGCUUGCUUCAGGUUUUCCUUACAGAAACAGUGUUUUUUCUGUUUGUAAUCUGUUUUUUUUCAUGAAUAUACA
ensembl:lncRNA